GUUUGGAGCCGCAGCGAGGAGAGUUUUCUCUUCUUUUUAACGCCGAGUUUGCCUUGGAGUCGUGUUGAACGGAGAAGAGGCAAGCCAGGCGGAAAAGCGUCGCACUUUGCGAUGUUCGCUACGUGGGUUCAAAGCCGUGAAAAUCCGGGGCGAGCAAAACUUGUUCGUACUCAUAACCGCAUCAGGUCUCCAAGGUUAGAAGCCUC
rnacentral:rRNA from 10 species